rnacentral:tRNA from 1 species
GGGACUGUAGCUCAGUUGGUAGAAUGCUUGCCUAGUGUGUAUAAAGUUCCCGGUUCGAUCCCCAGCACUGCAU